UACGUAGGGUGCAAGCGUUAAUCGGAAUUACUGGGCGUAAAGCGUGCGCAGGCGGUUUUGUAAGUCUGUCGUGAAAGCCCCGGGCUCAACCUGGGGAAUUGCGAUGGAGACUGCAAGGCUUGAAUCUGGCAGAGGGGGGGUAGAAUUCCACGUGUAGCAGUGAAAUGCGUAGAGAUGUGGAGGAACACCGAUGGCCGAAGGACAGCCCCCCUGGGUCAAAACUGACGCUCAUGCACGAAAGCGUGGGGAGCAAACAGG
rnacentral:rRNA from 1 species